GGCCUCUACAAGUGUGACAUCAGCGGUCAUGGAGAGUCUCCAUCCAGCUGGAUCACUGUCACAGACAAACACACCACCACACCUCCACCUACAUCCACACCUCCACCUACAUCCACCUCUAACCCUGCAUCUGAUACUGAUCCAGCUGCAGUGAGAACCUAAGACAUCUGAGAAAACAGACCCAAAGUUUCAGCAGAUGAGAGUGAGCCACCAGUCCAACAACUGCAACCAAGCUUCUGGUCUUUCUUUGUGUUUCUUUUAAAAGGUUCUACUGAUAAAACAAACUAACAAAUACAUUAAAAAAAAAAACAUAAAAAAAUACCCCAAAAAUCCUUAACCCUUAGAUGCACACAUGGGGUCAAAACUGACCCCAUGUGUGCAUCUAAGGGUUAAAUAACUGGUAAUAAAAGAAAUUUAAAACAAAAAUAUUAUAAAAAAUAUAAUAAAUCAAUAUUUUCUUCAUCUUUACCUUUUUUGUCACAGUUUUCUGUAUCUUAAUUGUUCUUUGUCUGAGGAGUAAGUCUGACAAACUUCAGCAGAAUGAAAAUGUGAGUCACAUCUCGUUGCUGCUCAGCAGAAACUCCAGAGUCUGAAAGCUGUGAAGCAUUUAAAUUCUGCUGCCAUCUAUUGAUGACACUGGUGCAUUACAUGUAACAUAAAGAUCACUGCGUGUGAAUCAGAUGGAUGGACAGAAGCUCUGCUGCAGGUUUUCUCUGUUAAACACCAAGAAAAAGUGAAUCAGUGUCAACAAAUGAACUUAAGACAAAUGAACCAGCUCAAGUUUUGAGGCCCUCGGGAGGUCAGAGGUCAGAUUCACUCUGUGAGCUCGCUCUUAUUAACAGGACCUUAUUUAUUAAUGUGUUUGUAACACUUCUUCUGCUCUCAGUUUGGGUUUAAUAUCCCAGAGAUCUGACUGACAGGAGGAACAGGAGUGCAUAUUCUUGGAAAGCAUAACACGAUCACAGAAACAUAAAGUAAACUUGCCACGCAUGUAUACAUGCAGCAACUGUGUCAAUAUGUUAAGGGAAUGCGGUUCAGCAGCUUUGAGUUGAGGUAACUUCUCAUUACUCCUGAUGUCAGCAGGCAUAUUCUGUAUGUCAUUAAAUAACACGCUGGGACUGACUAGUUUCACUUCCAUUGUCCUGUUUAUAUCUGACUCUGUACUUGUUUUUUUUUCAGUCCUUGGCAGUCAGUAAAUAAUAGAUGUUAGCUGGUCAGUCAGCUACUGAAGUGAUGUUUCUGUGAUGAGAACGCCUCUGUUCUUAUCAGUGUUUGCAGCCGGUGAUCAUGUUCCUGUAUAGACCUACUUGCAAACCUACUGAUCCA